UACGUAGGGUGCGAGCGUUAAUCGGAAUUACUGGGCGUAAAGCGUGCGCAGGCGGUCCGCUAAGACCGAUGUGAAAUCCCCGGGCUUAACCUGGGAACUGCAUUGGUGACUGGCGGGCUGGAGUAUGGCAGAGGGGGGUGGAAUGCCGCGUGUAGCAGUGAAAUGCGUAGAGAUGCGGCGGAACACCGAUGGCGAAGGCAGCCCCCUGGGCUGAGAUUGACGCUCAGGCACGAAAGCGUGGGGAGCAAACAGG
rnacentral:rRNA from 1 species